UCGUUUUUCUUUUUUUCUUUUUUUUUCUUUUUUUUUAAAAUUUUUUUUGGUAAACAAAAGUAAGAGAAACAAUGAUGUAUAAUUCAAGCAUGCUUGGUGAUCUCAAACCAAUCACAAGGAGUCCCACCCAAAGGCAAAGGGAACUAAGAUGCUCAUGAUCCUUGAGGCUAUGCAAAUGCAAUGUUAUGAUGCCAUGAGGGAUCUUAGGGUCAAAAUUGG
rnacentral:lncRNA from 1 species